GGCUUGAGUAUGGUAGGGGCAGAGGGAAUUCCCGGUGUAGCGGUGAAAUGCGUAGAUAUCGGGAAGAACACCAGUGGCGAAGGCGCUCUGCUGGGCCAUUACUGACGCUCAUGGACGAAAGCCAGGGGAGCGAAAGGGAUUAGAUACCCCUGUAGUCCUGGCCGUAAACGAUGAACACUAGGUGUCGGGGGAAUCGACCCCUUCGGUGUCGUAGCUAACGCGUUAAGUGUUCCGCCUGGGGAGUACGCACGCAAGUGUGAAACUCAAAGGAAUUGACGGGGGCCCGCACAAGCGGUGGAGUAUGUGGUUUAAUUCGAUGCAACGCGAAGAACCUUACCAGGGUUUGACAUCCUGCGAACCUCUUAGAAAUUUGAGGGUGCCUUCGGGAAUGCAGUGACAGGUGGUGCAUGGCUGUCGUCAGCUCGUGUCGUGAGAUGUUGGGUUAAGUCCCGCAACGAGCGCAACCCACGUUUUUAGUUGCCAGCAUUUAGUUGGGCACUCUAGAAAGACCGCCGGUGAUAAACCGGAGGAAGGUGUGGAUGACGUCAAGUCAUCAUGCCCCUUACACCCUGGGCUACACACGUACUACAAUGCUACGGACAAAGGGCAGCAAACUCGCGAGAGCUAGCAAAUCCCAUAAACCGUGGCUCAGUUCAGAUCGUAGGCUGCAACUCGCCUACGUGAAGUAGGAAUCGCUAGUAAUCGCAGGUCAGCAUACUGCGGUGAAUACGUUCCCGGGCCUUGUACACACCGCCCGUCACACCAUGGAAGUUGGCCAUGCCCGAAGUCGUUACUCCAACCCUUGUGGAGGAGGACGCCGAAGGUGGGGCUAAUGACUGGGGUGAAGUCAUAACAAGGUAACCGUA
rnacentral:rRNA from 1 species